CGCAGCCGCGGUAAUUCCAGCUCCAAUAGCGUAUAUUAAAGUUGUUGCAGUUAAAAAGCUCGUAGUUGAAUUUCGGAACCAAUAUGUCGGUCGUGCCUCGGUACGUACUGGUGUCAUUGGUUUCUCCCUUCUGAGGAUCCUUGAUGUCAUUAAUUUGGUGUCUUGGGAAAUCAGGACUGUUACCUUGAAAAAAUUAGAGUGUUUAAAGCAGGCAUACGCUUGAAUACAUUAGCAUGGAAUAAUGAAAUAGGACGUUCGAUUCUAUUUUGUUGGUUUCUAGGAUCGACGUAAUGAUUAAUAGGGAUAGUUGGGGGCAUUAGUAUUCAAUUGUCAGAGGUGAAAUUCUUGGAUUUAUUGAAGACUAACUACUGCGAAAGCAUUUGCCAAGGAUGUUUUCAUUAAUCAAGAACGAAAGUUAGGGGAUCGAAGACGAUCAGAUACCGUCGUAGUCUUAACCAUAAACUAUGCCGACUAGGGAUCGGAUGAUGUUAAUUUUUAAUGACUCAUUCGGCGCCUUAAC
rnacentral:rRNA from 1 species